UACGUAGGGGGCAAGCGUUGUCCGGAAUCAUUGGGCGUAAAGCGCGUGUAGGCGGCUUGGUAAGUCCGCUCUGAAAGCCCGGGGCUCAACCCCGGGAGGCGGGUGGAUACUGCUGAGCUCGAGUCCGGAAGAGGCGAGUGGAAUUCCUGGUGUAGCGGUGAAAUGCGCAGAUAUCAGGAGGAACACCGAUGGCGAAGGCAGCUUACUGGGCCGAUACUGACGCUGAGGAGCGAAAGCGUGGGGAGCGAACAGG
rnacentral:rRNA from 1 species